AAGAAGGNUUUCGNNNNGUAAANUCUGUUGUUAAAGANGAACAUAUCUGAGAGUAACUGUUCAGGUAUUGACGGUAUUUAACCAGAAANCCACGGCUAACUACGUGCCAGCAGCCGCGGUAAUACGUAGGUGGCAAGCGUUGUCCGGAUUUAUUGGGCGUAAAGCGAGCGCAGGCGGUUUUUUAAGUCUGAUGUGAAAGCCUUUCGGCUCAACCGAAGAAGUGCAUCGGAAACUGGGAAACUUGAGUGCAGAAGAGGACAGUGGAACUCCAUGUGUAGCGGUGAAAUGCGUAGAUAUAUGGAAGAACACCAGUGGCGAAGGCGGCUGUCUGGUCUGUAACUGACGCUGAGGCUCGAAAGUAUGGGUAGCAAACAGGAUUAGAUACCCUGGUAGUCCAUACCGUAAACGAUGAAUGCUAAGUGUUGGAGGGUUUCCGCCCUUCAGUGCUGCAGCUAACGCAUUAAGCAUUCCGCCUGGGGAGUACGGCCGCAAGGCUGAAACUCAAAGGAAUUGACGGGGGCCCGCACAAGCGGUGGAGCAUGUGGUUUAAUUCGAAGCUACGCGAAGAACCUUACCAGGUCUUGACAUACUAUGCAAAUCUAAGAGAUUAGACGUUCCCUUCGGGGACAUGGAUACAGGUGGUGCAUGGUUGUCGUCAGCUCGUGUCGUGAGAUGUUGGGUUAAGUCCCGCAACGAGCGCAACCCUUAUUAUCAGUUGCCAGCAUUAAGUUGGGCACUCUGGUGAGACUGCCGGUGACAAACCGGAGGAAGGUGGGGAUGACGUCAAAUCAUCAUGCCCCUUAUGACCUGGGCUACACACGUGCUACAAUGGAUGGUACAACGAGUUGCGAACUCGCGAGAGUAAGCUAAUCUCUUAAAGCCAUUCUCAGUUCGGAUUGUAGGCUGCAACUCGCCUACAUGAAGUCGGAAUCGCUAGUAAUCGCGGAUCAGCAUGCCGCGGUGAAUACGUUCCCGGGCCUUGUACACACCGCCCGUCACACCAUGAGAGUUUGUAACACCCAAAGUCGGUGGGGUAACCUUUUAGGAACCAGCCGCCUAA
rnacentral:rRNA from 2 species